rnacentral:misc_RNA from 1 species
GAUGAAGCACGUAGCGAAAUGCGAUAAGUAAUGUGAAUUGCAGAAUUCAGUGAAUCAUCGAAUCUUUGAACGCACAUUGCGCCCCCUGGUAUUCCGGGGGGCAUGCCUGUCCGAGCGUCAUUACAACCCUCAAGCUCAGCUUGGUGUUGGGCCCCGCCGCCCCGGCGGGCCCUAAAGUCAGUGGCGGUGCCGUCCGGCUCCGAGCGUAGUAAUUCUUCUCGCUCUGGAGGUCCGGUCGUGUGCUCGCCAGCAACCCCCAAUUUUUUUCAGGUUGACCUCGGAUCAGGUAGGGAUACCCGCUGAACUUAAGCAUAUCAAUAAGCGGAGGA